rnacentral:rRNA from 1 species
CAGUCGAGGGGCAGCGGGGUAGUGCUUGCACUACUGCCGGCGACCGGCGCACGGGUGAGUAACACGUAUGGAACCUGCCCGCAGCAGGGGGAUAAGCGGAAGAAAUUCCGUCUAAUACCGCGUAACAACGUUGGGAGGCAUCUCCCGAUGUUUAAAGAUUUAUCGGCUGCGGAUGGCCAUGCGGCGCAUUAGCUAGUCGGCGGGGUAACGGCCCACCGAGGCGACGAUGCGUAGGGGUUCUGAGAGGAAGGUCCCCCACACUGGUACUGAGACACGGACCAGACUCCUACGGGAGGCAGCAGUGAGGAAUAUUGGUCAAUGGCCGAGAGGCUGAACCAGCCAAGUCGCGUGAGGGAAGACGGCCCUACGGGUUGUAAACCUCUUUUGUCGGGGAGCAAAGAGAGCCACGUGUGGUUCAUUGAGAGUACCCGAAGAAAAAGCAUCGGCUAACUCCGUGCCAGCAGCCGCGGUAAUACGGAGGAUGCGAGCGUUAUCCGGAUUUAUUGGGUUUAAAGGGUGCGCAGGCGGAGGUGCAAGUCAGCGGUCAAAUUGCGGGGCUCAACCCCGUACUGCCGUUGAAACUGCAUCCCUUGAGUGCGCGAGAAGUAUGCGGAAUGCGUGGUGUAGCGGUGAAAUGCAUAGAUAUCACGCAGAACUCCGAUUGCGAAGGCAGCAUACCGGCGCGCAACUGACGCUCAUGCACGAAAGCGUGGGUAUCGAACAGGAUUAGAUACCCUGGUAGUCCACGCAGUAAACGAUGAACACUAACUGUUCGGCCAAAGUGAUGGCUGAGUGGUACAGCGAAAGCGUUAAGUGUUCCACCUGGGGAGUACGCCGGCAACG